CCCUAUAUUGCUCCACCAACCGCCGUACCAGGUGAAUUGCCUCCGUCGUCGAGCGGCCGGGCAUAAAUCCGAACUGGUUUUCCGAAAUAGACACUAUCCGUCUCAGCCUCACCUCGACCACUCUCUCCCAGAUCUUCAUAGAGUGACUCAGUAACUUAAUCCCCCUAUAGUUAUUGCAACACUGAAUGUCCCCCUUAUUCUUAUAGCGGGGGAUCAUGGUACUCCACCUCCACGCCUCGGGCAUCUUUGCCGUCCUGAAAAUUUCAUCAAAC
rnacentral:lncRNA from 1 species